AGCCCAUCCAAUUUUAAAUUACUCAAAACUCUGAGGAGAGGGAAUUGGAAGAAGAUGAAAGAAAAAAUAUAGAAAGAAAC